GCAUUGGCUGUCGUCAGCUCGUGUCGUGAGAUGUUGGUUAAGUCCCGCAACGAGCGCAACCCCUAUCCUCAGUUGCCAUCAUUAAGUUGGGCACUCUGUGGAGACUGCCGGUGUCAAACCGGAGGAAGGUGGGGAUGACGUCAAGUCCUCAUGGCCCUUAUGACCAGGGCUACACACGUGCUACAAUGGCCGGUACAAAGAGUUGCGAUACCGCGAGGUGGAGCUAAUCUCAUAAAGCCGGUCUCAGUUCGGAUUGGAGUCUGCAACUCGACUCCAUGAAGUUGGAAUCGCUAGUAAUCGCGGAUCAGCAUGCCGCGGUGAAUACGUUCCCGGGCCUU
rnacentral:rRNA from 1 species